GAUGAACGCUGGCGGCGUGCCUAAUACAUGCCAGUCGAGCGAACGGACGAGAAGCUUGCUUCUCUGAUGUUAGCGGCGGACGGGGGAGUAACACGUGGAUAACCUACCUAUAAGACUGGGAUAACUUCGGGAAACCGGAGCUAAUACCGGAUGAUAUUUUGAAACGCAUUGUUUAAAAGUGAAAGACGGUCUUGCUGUCACUUAUAGAUGGAUCCGCGCUGCAUUAGCUAGUUGGUAAGGUAACGGCUUACCAAGGCAACGAUGCAUAGCCGACCUGAGAGGGUGAUCGGCCACACUGGAACUGAGACACGGUCCAGACUCCUACGGGAGGCAGCAGUAGGGAAUCUUCCGCAAUGGGCGAAAGCCUGACGGAGCAACGCCGCGUGAGUGAUGAAGGUCUUCGGAUCGUAAAACUCUGUUAUUAGGGAAGAACAUAUGUGUAAGUAACUGUGCACAUCUUGACGGUACCUAAUCAGAAAGCCACGACUAACUACGUG
rnacentral:rRNA from 1 species